rfam:Alicyclobacillus acidoterrestris ATCC 49025 contig_30, whole genome shotgun sequence.
UUACAAUCGAAAAGCUGACCGUAGACAGUAGGUCCUAUAUGGUACAUCGCGUUCUAGCGUUCUCGUCGAACAGUUUGUGCGAUAUGGGUUAAAGUGCCUACCGAGGUCGUGUGCAUCCUGGGUUCAGUAUGCGUGCGCCUCGUAUGUCGAGGCGCUUUUUGUAUGUUUGA